GCUUCUCGCAGGCGGCGCGCUUGCUGGGUCACAGUGAGGCGGCUCCGCGCAGGCGCAGCCGGGCGGGCGAGGAGCGGGGAAGCUGACUCAGGGCUGCGGCCGGGGUCCUGCGGGGUAGGAGCGCGAGGCCGGCCUGAGGGAGGAGGCCUAGCGACCCAUCCGGCGCCUCCCGCCCCGGGCACCCGCCCGCGGCCGCGCAUCCUGCGGGCCCCAGGAGGCCUCCAUCUCAAAACAACGUGUUUUUAGGCACAUGACAGCCUUCUUGCAAUCAAGAAACUACGUGUGGCCAGGAUCUCAUCCACUAUCACAGUUUCAGCUUUCCCCAAACUGGAAUGUGUCUUUGCAGACGCCCAUCCUUAUUAAAGGGCAAAGACUUCUCAUACACCUAGGAUGGAUCUUAUAUUCUUGGCGGGACUGCAGAGAAGGUGCCGUGUCCUGAGUCCUCAUGUCAGGGCACAGGCUUCCAGCCAGUUCUACCUGGGUUAUGUUUAUCUCAAUUCCCUGGUGGUAUUGGUGUCUGCUGGGUUUUGCCAGAAUGAAGACACCGUGUUUUCAUUUGUCAGUUGAUUCGUAUUUUCCAGGAAGACAUUCUGAGAUUACAGCAUUGUCUUAGUCAAGGUGCUGCAGAAGGACAGAACUAAUAGGAUAUAUGUACAUAUGAAAGAAAGUUUAUGAAGAACUGGCUCACACCAUCACAAGGCAAAGUCCCAUGACAGGCCAUCUGCAAGCUGAGGAGCGAGGAAGCCAGCAGUGGCUCAGCCGGAGUCCAACAGCCUCAAACGGAAUCCAACAGUUCAGGCUUCAGUCUGUGGCCAAAUGCCCAGAGACCCCGGAAAGCUACUGGUGUUAGUCCCAGAGCCGGAAGGCCAAAGAACCUGGAGUGUGAUGUCCAAGGGCAGGAGGAAUGGACAGAAGCAUCCAGCAUGGGGUAAAGACGAAAGCCAGAAGACUCAGCAAGCUAGCUUACCUACUUUCUUCUGCCUGCCUUGUUCUAGCCGCGCUGGCAGCCGGUUGGAGGGUGCCCACCCCCACUGAGGGUGGAUCUUCCUCUCCUAGUCCACUGACUCAAAUUUCAGUCUCUCUGGGAGCACCAUCACACCAGAAACAAUACCAGCCAUCUAGCCACCCUUCAGUUCACCAUCACAACCAUUGUCUUAUUCAUGAAACUUCUGCAGACCCACCUUAACCUCCAUCGGUGACUUCUACCUGAAGCCCUCUGAUUGUUGCCCAGUGGUGCUUUUUAAAAUAAUUUCCAUAGUUUCUUCUACACCUUUAGUUGGCAUUCUACUGUAAAGGAGAGAUUUUAUUUUCUUACUCAUUUAUUUGUUAGUUUAUAGUCACCACCAUAUGGAUGCAGAGUUCUGUCUCAUUCACUGGGAAGUAUUCUAUUGCAGUCA
rnacentral:lncRNA from 1 species